rnacentral:rRNA from 1 species
AGUGAACGCUGGCGGUAGGCCUAACACAUGCAAGUCGAACGGCAGCACAGGAGAGCUUGCUCUCUGGGUGGCGAGUGGCGGACGGGUGAGGAAUACAUCGGAAUCUACUCUGUCGUGGGGGAUAACGUAGGGAAACUUACGCUAAUACCGCAUACGACCUACGGGUGAAAGCAGGGGACCUUCGGGCCUUGCGCGAUUGAAUGAGCCGAUGUCGGAUUAGCUAGUUGGCGGGGUAAGGGCCCACCAAGGCGACGAUCCGUAGCUGGACUGAGAGGAUGAUCAGCCACACUGGAACUAAGACACGGUCCAGACUCCUACGGGAGGCAGCAGUGGGGAAUAUUGGACAAUGGGCGCAAGCCUGAUCCAGCCAUACCGCGUGGGUGAAGAAGGCCUUCGGGUUGUAAAGCCCUUUUGUUGGGAAAGAAAUCCAGCUGGCUAAUACCCGGUUGGGAUGACGGUACCCAAAGAAUAAGCACCGGCUAACUUCGUGCCAGCAGCCGCGGUAA